rnacentral:rRNA from 1 species
AUUCUUGGUCAUUUAGAGGAAGUAAAAGUCGUAACAAGGUCUCCGUAGGUGAACCUGCGGAGGGAUCAUUACAGAGACUCUGCCCUUUGGGUAGACCUCCCACCCUGUGUCGUUAUACCUUUGUUGCUUUGGCGGGCCGCGGGGCUUAGGCCCUGCCCCUGGCUCCGGCUAGGGCGCGCCCGCCAGAGGGACCUCAAAACCUGAAUGUUAGUGUCGUCUGAGUACUAUAUAAUAGUUAAAACUUUCAACAACGGAUCUCUUGGUUCUGGCAUCGAUGAAGAACGCAGCGAAAUGCGAUAAGUAAUGUGAAUUGCAGAAUUCAGUGAAUCAUCGAAUCUUUGAACGCACAUUGCGCCCCUUGGUAUUCCGGGGGGCAUGCCUGUUCGAGCGUCAUUACAACCCUCAAGCUCUGCUUGGUCUUGGGCGUCACCGGUCCCCGGUGUGCCUUAAAAUCAGUGGCGGCGCCAUCUGGCUCUAAGCGUAGUACAUACUCUCGCUACAGACGUCCGGUGGAUGCUGGCCAGCAACCCCCAAUUUAUCAAGGUUGACCUCGGAUCAGGUAGGGAUACCCGCUGAACUUAAGCAUAUCAAUAAGCGGAGGAAAAGAAACCAACAGGGAUUACCUCAGUAACGGCGAGUGAAGCGGUAACAGCUCAAAUUUGAAAUCUGGGUCUUUCAGGCUCCGAGUUGUAAUUUGUAGAAGAUGCUUUGGGUGCGGCCCCGGUCUAAGUUCCUUGGAACAGGACGUCAUAGAGGGUGAGAAUCCCGUAUGUGAUCGGUGGCUUGCGCCCGUGUAAAGCUCUUUCGACGAGUCGGGUUGUUUGGGAAUGCAGCUCUAAAUGGGUGGUAAAUUUCAUCUAAAGCUAAAUAUUGGCCAGAGACCGAUAGCGCACAAGUAGAGUGAUCGAAAGAUGAAAAGAAUCGUCGACCUGCAGG